AAUGCGAUAGAGUAGGACGUGUGUCGGUAGUUUUCAGAUUAAUUUUUCUUUCCAGUGAAUAGCUGUGAAAAAGUUUGCCCAAAAAGUCAUUUGUAGAUUGUUUUCAGUGCUGAACUGUCUAACUAGCGAUACAAAAUGGUGUGGGGCUUUGUGACGUGCGGUCCAAACGAAGCGCUGGUAGUUUCAGGAUGCUGCCAUAUGAAACCGCUGCUGGUCCCCGGUGGCCGUGCAUUUGUGUGGCCCUCGGUUCAACGAGUUCAACGCAUUUCCCUGAACACCAUGACGUUGCAAGUGGAAAGUCCUACUGUGUACACCAGCCAGGGUGUGCCGAUCUCGGUAACCGGCAUCGCACAGGUGAAAAUCCAGGGUCAAAACGAGGAUAUGCUGUUAACGGCCUGCGAACAAUUUCUCGGUAAAAGCGAAGCGGAAAUCCAACAUAUUGCCUUGGUCACCCUCGAGGGUCACCAGCGUGCCAUCAUGGGUUCAAUGACCGUCGAGGAGAUCUACAAGGACCGGAAGAAGUUCUCCAAGCAGGUGUUCGAGGUCGCUUCGUCCGAUCUGGUCAACAUGGGCAUCACGGUGGUGUCGUACACCCUGAAGGACAUCCGUGAUGAAGAGGGUUACCUGAAAAGCCUUGGAAUGGCGCGUACUGCCGAGGUAAAGCGUGAUGCCCGGAUCGGUGAAGCGGAGGCACGCUGCGAUGCGACCAUCAAGGAAGCCAUUGCUGAGGAACAACGUAUGGCUUCCCGCUUUCUGAAUGACACUGAGAUCGCUAAGGCCCAGCGAGAUUUCGAGCUGAAGAAGGCCGUCUACGACGUUGAGGUUCAAACGAAGAAGGCCGAAGCCGAGAUGGCAUACGAACUUCAGGCUGCCAAAACAAAACAGCGCAUCAAGGAAGAGCAGAUGCAAAUCAAGGUAAUCGAACGCACGCAGGAGAUUGCCGUCCAGGAGCAGGAGAUGGCUCGUCGUGAGCGGGAGCUGGAAGCUACCAUCAGAAGACCAGCCGAGGCAGAAAAGUUCAAACUGGAAAAGCUAGCGGAAGCCAACCGGAACAGAGUUGUCCUGGAGGCAGAAGCCGAAGCUGAAGCGAUUAAAAUCCGAGGGGAAGCGGAAGCUUUCGCCAUUGCUGCCAAGUCCAAAGCUGAAGCCGAACAAAUGGCCAAGAAAGCGGAAGCUUGGCGUGAAUAUCGUGAAGCAGCGAUGGUAGAUAUGCUGUUGGAAACAUUGCCAAAGGUUGCCGCAGAGGUGGCAGCCCCACUGUCACAGGCUAAGAAAAUUACGAUGGUCUCGAGUGGAACUGGCGAGGUAGGUGCGGCAAAGCUCACUGGAGAGGUGCUGCAGAUCGUCAACAAGAUACCGGAACUGGUCAAAUCGAUUACUGGCGUGGACAUUUCGCGGGUCAUGUACGAUUCUCCUUCCGAUGACUUUAUAGAAUGACACCCUGAAGUGAUUGUUUAGAAUUUUACGAAUACGGCUUUUUUCCCCAAGAGUAUGCCAUUUUACCAACGACUGUCCACUUCUGUGUAGCUUUCUUUUAAGUUAGUUUUUACUUGUUACCGUGGGACCAUUCGACGACACUGCCAAACUUACGCCAGAAGAACAACCUCGACAACAACAACAAAACGCCCAAUCUAAUUUACACAAGCCUCUACACUUUUGUUUCCUCACAUGACACGACACGCUACCGGGAUUCCAUCUCGGUACACGCUGGUUAGAACCCCAGACAGGCUGGCGAUCUGCUGCUAGUUUUGUGAGCCGUGAAAGUUUCCAAUCAACCGGCACCCGCGAACAACCGAGCAGUUAUCGUCCCAGCCGAUGCAGUAAGUUGCACACGGAACGGACACGUACACCGCACCGCAGACUUGUCCCGUGAAUGGUCGGGUGUUCGGUUUCGUUAAGUUCGAUUUCAUUGUUUGUUUGUUUGUUUAUUUGUUCUAUUUCGGUAAGUUUAGCUUUGUUAACACAUUUUAUGUUCACAAUUUAUCCGAUUGUCAAUGAUUAUUAUAGACUAUAUACUAUGGUUUCGUUCAAUUCAUUGAAUUUUUUGUUAAGUUUCGGAACAUCGUUUCAAGUAUUUGUAUUGACUUUAAUUCGAUAUAUUUGGUUAAAUAUUUAAUCCCCUGAUUAUUCGGGUCAGCUUCACAGUUACGUACACUGAAUCAUAAUCUAUUUAAAAAAAGAAAUCUAAGUGACUACACUGCCACGGCGUACAAUAUCUUGAGAAUUUACGAAAUUAUUCCCUUCGAUAAAUAAGUGCACAAAAAUGUUCAUCACUAGUUUUCCUUGACGCCUAUUGCAUUCAUACGAAGCUGACCCGAUGUUUUCAACAAAACCGCAAGCAAGUCGCGUAAGUAGAUGGAACCAAUCGUACUCAGUGCAUAACUCAUUAAAAAAACAAUUGUGACAAUUCUUGUAUGCAAUAAGCCUUUGUGGGUGUGUGAAAAGUGUGUCCACAUUCCAUCCAACAGUUUAACCCCUUAUUCUGCUAUUAUUUUCUCUACCCGCAUCUAGUCUAAGACUAGUCCACUAUAAAGUAAGAAAUGAUAUUACCUUAACACAUUCAAUCUAGAGAGAGCGCAAACAGAUUUGAUGAUUGCUCGCACGAGUCAAACGAUGCCGGCAGUGAUUUUACGCUGACCCAUAGGCCCAUAGCACGCCACUCAUGCGGUACCUUGUCAAUCGAAGAUGUAAUUUUAAGACCAAAACCAAAUGUCAAAAGAAAAAAAAAUCGCGGCAGCUGCUCCCACAUAAAACAUUUAAUUGAUAUUUUCCCUCCCCCUCCCUUAAAAAUACUAAAGCUUAAAUCUCUGAAGUCAUUGUAGCGAUAAAUUUUCAAACAACAUAACAAAACCCGUUUUCUAGUAGGUGUAGUCGGUGGAAGCCGUGAUGUCAAAAAAUUUAGGUCAGAAAUCUGUCACUGACAAAUACAAAAUCGAGCGUUCAUAUUUUAGAAUCUGAUGAUUGAAUGUUGAAAAACAAUUAGCGGCACUCAUGUAACAAAAUAAUAACAACAAAAACCAAAAAAAAAAACAACAUAAUAUUUAUCGAAACGCAAAACGAAAGAUACUAUAUUUUGUAACGGCAUUUCUCGAUGAUUGAUGUGAAUGGCCCUGUCAAGGGAGCAAACAAAAAAAAAGUGAACCGGAGAUAUUUAAUAGUUACACUAUUUUCCCCGCCCAGUAAGGAAUAUGCGUUUCGUUGUAGCAUAAAGGAAUCCGUAUAUAAUCUUUGUGUUUUCAUCACCAUUAUGAACGAAGCGUGCAGAAAAUAAAAGCAACAUGUAUAACUCUC